rnacentral:lncRNA from 1 species
CUUAAAUCUAAAAAUGACUUGUAUCAGAAAAACUUCCUAAAAAAGAAAAAAAGUGUAAAUAACUCCUCUUUCAUUACGCUGCAAGAUAGUUGCCUAUUCAUCUAGCCUAAACAUUUACAGUGACUGAUUUAUUCAGUGUUGAAAAUCAAACCCAUGGCAGUUCAGAUAAUUUCUCUGCGUUAGGAAAAUGAAUAAAUUAAAAGUGUGCUUCAGCAAUUUCGUCCUCCUAAGCAGAGAUUCCGCUAGCUCGGUGGAAGAUGUCAAAACCUGCUGAUAUCUAACAGAGGCAACUCCAAGUUUGUGUAUCCCGGUCCAGUCUACCUUUCCAUCAGGCGGUACAUGUGGAAAUAGAAAAGCAGCUCUCUAAUUAAUCAAAGUCAGAUGUGCCUGAACGCCUGGAGUUGCUGCUGAUCCUUGUCCCAGCUUCUCCCAUGUUCUCGCUCUAUGUUUUUACCUUGAAAACUUCUGCUCUGAGCUGGGAAUGCCUGAAGGGCUUGCACGAAAUCAAGGAAAGAAUUACCUUGCAGCCGCCUUCUACACACAGUGCUGGGGUCAGGUCAAAGGAAGCACAUCAAAUACAGCAGAGAAGUACGUCUCGUAAAUUUCAAUGUUACGACGAUGCCAUACGCAGCUCCCACACCUACACCCCUGCCUGAGAAGUUGUCAUCUCCUCCAGUCUGUGACUUGUAGCAUUGUUUUCUGUUUGGAAGUCACAACUACUUUGGUUUCACUUCACUUCCUGGAGUUUGAUUUACCAGUUUUGAGCUCACUGAAGGGAAAAAUGGUUUAUAUUUGAUGCUAUGCAUAAAUGUAACAGUCUGUACCUUCCUCAGUAGUGAAGAGAUUUUUAGAAAACUUGCAGAAAUAUGAUGAGAUUGGUGCUUAGGUGAUAGCGUAACCUAAGCAAUUGUUGAAAAGCCAAAACUUUUACAACUGUGUGUGUGUGUGGUUGUGCACGUACAUAGGCAUCCGUGUGAGAGAUUCCUCCCAGAAGAGUUUACGUAGCUUAUUAUGGGUUAAAAUAUAUGCGGCGUUUUUAAAAAAAAUUAGAGUACUUAACAAAAAUUUGCAGGCUGAGUACACUAUUUCUUUUGCAUUUUCAAAAGAAGCCAUGCCGUAAUAUUGUUCAGGGUUUCUAUUUCUAACAAAAGCAAACAUAUUGAUAAAUUCAAAAUGUUAUGUUUAUGAAUUGACUGAUUAAAUGCUUUGUUUCUGUUUUGCAGUAUGGGCAUACCAGUGGGAAGAAAAUAUAAGAUUUGCUUUCUUACUAAAAUAUUUACAACUUUCUCUCAUUGUGUAUUUUGUUAUGGGAAAUUAGCAAUUGUUUAUCUGAAAUAUAAUUAUAUUAGAUAUAUGCCAAUGAGAUUGUU